GACGAACGCUGGCGGCGUGCUUAACACAUGCAAGUCGAACGUGAUUUUUGUGGAAAUUCUUUCGGGAAUGGAAAUGAAAUGAAAGUGGCGAACGGGUGAGUAACACGUGAGCAACCUACCUUACACAGGGGGAUAGCCGUUGGAAACGACGAUUAAUACCGCAUGAGACCACAGAAUCGCAUGAUAUAGGGGUCAAAGAUUUAUCGGUGUAAGAAGGGCUCGCGUCUGAUUAGCUAGUUGGAAGGGUAAAGGCCUACCAAGGCGACGAUCAGUAGCCGGUCUGAGAGGAUGAACGGCCACAUUGGAACUGAGACACGGUCCAAACUCCUACGGGAGGCAGCAGUGGGGAAUAUUGCACAAUGGGGGGAACCCUGAUGCAGCGACGCCGCGUGAGCGAAGAAGGUUUUCGAAUCGUAAAGCUCUGUCCUAUGAGAAGAUAAUGACGGUAUCAUAGGAGGAAGCCCC
rnacentral:rRNA from 1 species